GCCGCUGUGGCGGAAUGGCAGACGCACAUGACUCAAAAUCAUGCGGGAAACCGUACGGGUUCAAGUCCCGUCAGCGGUA
rnacentral:tRNA from 2 species